rnacentral:rRNA from 1 species
GACAGAGGUGCCGAGCGUUAGGCGGAAUCACUGGGCUUAAAGCGUGUGUAGGCGGAUCUGUAAGUACCUUGUGAAAUCCCACGGCUCAACCGUGGAACUGCUUGGUAUACUGCGGGUCUUGAGCCACCUAGGGGCAAGUGGAACAAACGGUGGAGCGGUGAAAUGCGUAGAUAUCGUUUGGAACGCCAAUGGUGAAAACAACUUGCUGGGGGUGUGCUGACGCUGAGACACGAAAGCCAGGGUAGCAAACGGG